rnacentral:rRNA from 1 species
GAUGAACGCUAGCGACAGGCCUAACACAUGCAAGUCGAGGGGCAGCGGGGGCGAAGCUUGCUUUGCCUGCCGGCGACCGGCGCACGGGUGAGUAACACGUAUGGAACCUGCCCGCCACAGGGGGAUAACCGGUAGAAAUGCCGACUAAUACCCCGUAUGCCCACAGGGGCGCAUGCCCUGGUGGGGAAACAUUCAUGGGUGGCGGAUGGCCAUGCGGCGCAUUAGCUGGUUGGCGGGGUAACGGCCCACCAAGGCGACGAUGCGUAGGGGUUCUGAGAGGAAGGUCCCCCANAUUGGUACUGAGACACGGACCAAACUCCUACGGGAGGCAGCAGUGAGGAAUAUUGGUCAAUGGGCGAGAGCCUGAACCAGCCAAGUCGCGUGAGGGAAGACGGUCCUACGGAUUGUAAACCUCUUUUGUCGGGGGAACAACGAGGGGGCACG